AAGUUGGGUGGGGCCAGAUGCUAAAGCUUGAGUAUCUGGGCUGGUGGUGUUCUUGUGCCUUUAGAGGCAAGGCUUGGCUGAAAGGAGAAAGGGGCACAGCGCCUGGGUCUCAAGAGAAGGGGAUAGGUCUUCUGAUGUCGCCUCUUACCCUGUUGCAAACGCCAGGAGGACAGAGAGGAAAGCCAGCAGCUUUUAGAGGACAGUGAAGCCGCCUCACCAUCCUGAGGGCCCACGUCACUGUCUGCAGACUGUCACGUAAAGGAGGAAACGUUGCCAGUCCUCUCCCAGCUCCUACGCUUGCUGCCUACCAUCUCUUAGCUCCAACCAGGCCGGAAUCUUCUAGAGACUAAGGUUUGAUCUCCAGGCUUAGCUGUGCGUCACUUCCUGCCAGGAAGUCUGGGACUCUGUGCACCAGAGUGUUUUCGGAGAAGGAUACUAGGAUUACACACCCCUCCAAAUGAUCCUCAGCUCAACUCCAUUUGGCUCUUUGAGAGGGCCCCCCAAAACCUGGAUCCUCCCCUGUCCCCUGCCCUCGGGGAGCUGCCCAGAUCCACAGCCACCCUUGGAGCACAGCCAGCCAGAAAGGCGGAAUUGCAGAUGGCAGAGCUGUGUGCAGCUGUGGGACUCCUCAAAGCCGUCUUGGGUUAUAUUCCUGGAAAAGGCACUGCAGGACAAAAAGAAGAAGCUGAUCUUGCUCCUUUUCCACGGAUUGAGCUUUAGAACAUUCUGGGGCUGCCGGAUGCUGUUCAGUGGGUGCUGAGGGGUAGAGACCCUACGGUCUCCCACCGCGAGCCUCGCUGUCCUCCUGCUGCCAGAUUUGCCAGAGAGAAUGCUUGAUGCCGCCGGGCCCUCCCGCCAGGCAGACCUCUGACAAAGUCACCACCAGAGGGGACUUUCAGCCAGGGCUGGCUCCAGUCAGCUUCUGAAACAAGAGGUGCUUUCUUCCUUGCACAACCUUCAGAGAAAAGGGGAACAACUUGACAUCCCAAAGGGCUUCUUGGAAGCAGGGGACAAGGUUAAUCAAGGAAAGAUGGGGCAGGAGGCAUCGAGGGCCCCCUGACUGGUGCUCUGAAGCUUGUGCUUUUUGACUUUGGCUGGGAGAGGGGCAACCAUUUAAGAAAGUGGGUAGGAACAGGGUGAAUAUGGUAUAAUGUAAAUAUAAUGUUUUUAAUUGUUUUCUUUUCACUGGAACUUUCUUUGUGAUAAGUAUAAAAAUAGCACACACACCUUCAGAGAUUCUGCUGCAUCUUGCCCCAGAACGUUGCCCUCUUUGAGAAUUAUUGUUUUUCUGUGUAUCUGCACUAGCUAAGACCAUUUUAUCAAGCCCGACUUACUCUAGUUUUUAUUAUAAAAAAUAAUUUUUAUUUUCCAAAUACAGAAUUAUAGUAUCAUUUGGAUAUGCUUUUUCAAUCUCUGUGUAAAUCCCAAAUUGGAGAUUAAGCUCCCCCAUCCCUCCCCAUUGGAGAAUCACUGAAUCACUGCCCUAAUAUCCAGCACGAGAAAGCAGAAAGCAUUGGCCGUGCUGGGCCGGGACUCUUCCAGGACCCAGUUGUCUCUUGGCCGAGUCGCUCUCCCCAUCCCUCGACAUCAGGGUCUUCUUUGGUCAUUGGGCCCACAGUAAGAAAUUCAGUAAGUAUACGUUGCAUGAAUCUUACACUAUUGAAUUAUCAUCACAUGCUUGGCACAGUGCUAGCACCUGGUGUGUGCCAAGGUACACCUAAGUGUUAGCUGUUGUUCCUAAGCUCCCCGACACGCUGCCUCCUCCACGUGUCCUGUAGUCUGCCCUCUGUUAGGAAGCUCUGGCAGCAAAGAUGCUAAUUUCUUAAGGUGCCCUGGAACAGCUCUCAGCAUCCUCUGUUCCGCAGAACUAUGUGUCACCUCCAGAUGGUGACCAACUGUCCAGAUACCGGCUUCUUUAGGUCAUGUCAGAAGCCUAGUACAGUGCUCACACACAGGAGGGCUCACCGAAUGUUUGUUGAGGGCGUGAGUGGCAGGCCCGGUGCCCUCCACUCAGCAGCCUCUGCGG
rnacentral:lncRNA from 1 species